rnacentral:lncRNA from 1 species
GUGAGGGGUAUAUACAAUGAUCCCAGUGAUUUAAGGAACCAGACAUUCAUACACAUGGGACAUCCAUGGUGCUCUUCAUUCUUUUGGAAGUUAAUUCACCUCCCAUCACCAUCACUUUUCUCACUUCAUGAGUAAAUGAACAACACAGAAAUCUCUAAUCCCUGCAUUAAAAUCUGACAUCCCUCUACGGACAAUGCAUAAAUCACUUCUUACCUUAUUCAUUUCAUAAUGGAAAUAAUGCUCCCAAACUUUGUUCUACUACAAUGAAAGAUAACUGCCCAACUUUAUUAGUGUUUAUUUAUUGUUUUAAGUGUUCAUUUAUUCCUUUGCCUUGUUCCAAAAGAUUAAUUUUGUUUUAUAUAUUUGUUUAAAGUUUCUGGGAUUUUAAAAUAAGGCUUUUUAAACUAUAUUGAGCUAUUUUAACUUGAUGCCUUAAUGCAGUAUUCCACAAAACUUUGAAGGGAGAUUUACAAGAACACAAUACAACCAAGAAGUGAUGAAAUUGCUUCCAUAAAACACCCAUGAAAAGACAACUACAUAUAAAGAGUGCAGUUAAUAAAAGUUAACCCUACACAGUGAAAUAGGUGGGUUCUCCUCUUCAUUUUUAUUCCAAACAUUAACUUGGGGGUCCUGGCAUUCAGUGUUAACUCGAACACAUCACACUCACAGUGGGCUUAUGUGCACCAAGGAACUCGUGUUAUUUUUCUUUAGAUUGACCAAAAUAAACUGAAAUGUACAUGCAUUCAGU